rnacentral:lncRNA from 1 species
GCAUUUUUCCAUCUUGGACAAGUCCCUCUUUAUGCCAACGCAUAUAGAUGUGGUCGCUCUCAUGUAUAACCUCUGCAGACGAGGGGUCACUGGAAAAUACCUUAGGAUUUUCUAUGGAAAAUGCUUCUGUGGUCCCUCCUUCUCACUUGAACCAGCAGCUUUCCAUCUUGACUCUCCACAUGUUGGACAUUUAUCCAAGUCAGCAUAUUGCUUUCUAAAUAAAACACAAUC